rnacentral:ncRNA from 1 species
AACUGUGAGGUUGGGGCUAAAGGAAGCGUGGAACAAAAUCGUGGCUUAACGAACAGAAACUUGAUAUAAGGCUUUUCUGUGGGAAUAAGUUUGCAUAACAAAACAAAGUCCAAAAGAUACCCGUAACUCUAGAUGGUAAAUCAA